rnacentral:rRNA from 1 species
CCUACGGGGUGCAGCAGUGGGGAAUAUUGGACAAUGGGCGAAAGCCUGAUCCAGCCAUGCCGCGUGUGUGAAGAAGGCCUUCGGGUUGUAAAGCACUUUCAGUGGGGAAGAAAGCCUUGGGGCUAAUACCCUCGAGGAAGGACAUCACCCACAGAGGAAGCACCGGCUAACUCCGUGCCAGCAGCCGCGGUAAUACGGAGGGUGCGAGCGUUAAUCGGAAUUACUGGGCGUAAAGCGCGCGUAGGCGGUCUGAUAAGCCGGUUGUGAAAGCCCCGGGCUCAACCUGGGAACGGCAUCCGGAACUGUCAGGCUAGAGUGCAGGAGAGGAAGGUAGAAUUCCCGGUGUAGCGGUGAAAUGCGUAGAGAUCGGGAGGAAUACCAGUGGCGAAGGCGGCCUUCUGGACUGACACUGACGCUGAGGUGCGAAAGCGUGGGUAGCAAACAGGAUUAGAUACCCCUGUAGUC